rnacentral:rRNA from 1 species
AUGAACGCUGGCGGCGUGCUUAACACAUGCAGGUCGAACGGGAAACCUUUUAUUGAAGCUUCGGCAGAUUUAGCUGGUUUCUAGUGGCGGACGGGUGAGUAACGCGUGGGUAACCUGCCCUAUACAGGGGGAUAACAACCAGAAAUGGUUGCUAAUACCGCAUAAGCGCACAGGGCCGCAUGGUCCGGUGUGAAAAACUCCGGUGGUAUAGGAUGGACCCGCGUUGGAUUAGCCAGUUGGCAGGGUAACGGCCUACCAAAGCGACGAUCCAUAGCCGGCCUGAGAGGGUGAACGGCCACAUUGGGACUGAGACACGGCCCAGACUCCUACGGGAGGCAGCAGUGGGGAAUAUUGCACAAUGGGGGAAACCCUGAUGCAGCGACGCCGCGUGAAGGAAGAAGUAUCUCGGUAUGUAAACUUCUAUCAGCAGGGAAGAUAGUGACGGUACCUGACUAAGAAGCCCCGGCUAACUACGUG